AUGGAUGUUGGAGAGGAUAUGGAGAAACAGGAGCCUGAAGGUGGUGGAGCCAAGUCCCCCACCUCCCAGAAACUGUCCCCUAAGUGGUGCUUCCUAGACGCCACCACUGCCAGCCGCUUCUACAGGAUCGACCGGGCCCAGGAACACCUCAACUAUGUAACUGAGAUCGCACAGGACGAGAUUUAUAUCUGGGACCCUGGAGCUGCUGGGGGCAUCGGCCCGGCCUGACCUCCCAACCCCCACUUCCCCUCUCCCCACCUCCCCCUGCUCACCCACGCUCAGGUCACUGCCAGGGGAUGCGGGGCCCCCUAAAGGUGAGGAGCUGAUUGAGGCUGCCAAGAAGAACAACUUCUGUAAGCUCCAGGAGCUGCACCGAGCUGGGGGUGACCUCAUGCACCGGGAUGAGCAGAGCCGCACGCUCCUGCACCAUGCGGUCAGCACAGGCAGCAAGGAUGUGGUCCGCUACCUGCUGGACCACGCCCCCCCCCAGAGAUCCUUAACGCAGUGGAGGAGAACGGGGAGACCUGUCUGCACCUGGCAGCAGCCCUGGGCCAGCGCACCAUCUGCCACUACAUCGUGGAAGAGGGGGCCUCUCUCAUGAAGACAGACCAGCAGGGCGACACACUCCCCGGCAGCGGGCCGAGAAGGCUGAAGACACGGAGCUCGCUGCCUACUUGGAGAACCCGCAGCACUACCAGAUGAUCCAGCGGGAGGACCAAGAGACAGCCGUGAAGCUGGAGGGACAGGGCCAGCCAGGGGAGGAGCCCCUCAUUGCCCACCUCACUGCCACAUUCCAGUCGGAUGACCACGGGGGCACCCAUGCCCCAAGGAAGGAGACCCGUGCUGCCCCCUGUGGAGCCGCCCAGGCCUGGGGCUGGACUCUGAGGAGCUGGGGGAUCCCACCUGUCCCCCUGAGGCCCCAGCCUGACCCGGGCCUGACAGGGGAACAGGAAACUGGACUGGGCCGGGCAGCAAACCACAUCACACCAGAGCAGGCUACCACUGGGACCAUCAGAGCCAUCCUUAGCUGUCAGUGCAAACCCCCUGACCAGAUACCAUUUAUUAAGCUGCUAGGAUUUAUGUACGCGAGUGUGAUCAAUACUGUGGAAACUGGGGAUCCGUUAUCCCCAGCUGAGGUUGCUAAAGAAACUAUCAACUCUUUACAUACAUAUGAAUUAGACGAUGAGACUUGA